UAACAAAGAAAAUGUAGUUUUGGUCUAGCUAACUGAGUGCCAAGCUGGUGUUACAAGUAAUAUUCUUGUUUUGGGAGAUCAAAACUUUAUAUAACCCGCGAUAGAAAUUCAACUAUAGUUUAAUUUGGUCCAUAAAAUAGUAACGACAAAAGUUGUAUAUAUGAAAUAUGUAACAAGGUCUAGUUUAUGUUUUUGGCCUA